CCUACGGGAGGCAGCAGUGAGGAAUAUUGGUCAAUGGACGCAAGUCUGAACCAGCCAUGCCGCGUGCAGGCUGACGGCUCUAUGAGUUGUAAACUGCUUUUGUACGAGGGUAAACCCCGAUACGUGUAUCGGGUUGAAAGUAUCGUACGAAUAAGGAUCGGCUAACUCCGUGCCAGCAGCCGCGGUAAUACGGAGGAUCCGAGCGUUAUCCGGUUUUAUUGGGGUUAAAGGGUGCGUAGGCGGUUUGAUGAGUUAGAGGUGAAAGGUCGGGGCGCAACCCCGAAACUGCCUCUAGAACUGGUUGACAUGAGAAUAGUUGCGGUAGGCGGAAUGUAGGGUGUAGCGGUGAAAUGCUUAGAGAUCAUACAGAACACCGAUUGCGAAGGCAGCUUACCAAACUAUAUCUGACGUUGAGGCACGAAAGCGUGGGUAGCAAACAGGAUUAGAUACCCCUGUAGUC
rnacentral:rRNA from 1 species